rnacentral:lncRNA from 1 species
UCACUGGGCUAGGCAUUUUUGUUUGACCAAACAUCCUGGGAAAUAUACUUAUUACAUAACCUCAUCAUUUUCAUCUUCUCAUAUCAUCAUCUUUAUCUUUAUCUUCUCCCAUAUCUUCGUCUUCAUCUUAGCAUAUUCCUUUUGAUUAUGAUUCAUUUUCGACAUCUCAUGGGUACAUUUAUUUGCUUACCUUUAUAGCCAUAACAAUUUUUUUUAUUAUAUAGAUCUUUAGAAAUGAAUUUAAG